UGUAGCCAUAUCACUUCCAAACACCUGUUCUCAUAAGAUUACCGAAGUUAGACAACUUCGACCCCGGUUAGUACCUAGCUGGGUGAUCUCUUGGGAAUACCAGGUGUUGUAA